CCCCCUACUCAGUAGGCAUUGGAGCGGUGAGUUUGCAUUUCCAAGGCACAAGGUUAUCCUAAAUACUAGAGUUGCCGGGCUCCCAGCUCAGCCCCAAGAAUUCUCCCCUCCUCGCAGGGAGAAGCCACCGCCUGGCCCCCUCAUCUUAGACGCACCAAGUCCGGCGCAGAGGAAGGGAGGGGACACGCGGAGCAGGCCAGGCUUUCAGGAGGCACCGGAAUCUCCUAGUCCUGGCUCGCACGGCUCGGGCAAGCCUCGAGAUCCGGCGACCCCAAACCACUCCCUGGGUCCCCGCCGGAGGCUGGCCCAGGGCGGUCCCACAGCCGCGCGCCUCACGCGCAGUUGCCCAUGGCCUUGACCAAGGAGCUCUCUGGCAGCUGGCGGAAGAUGCCCCGCAGCGUGUCCAGUUCGCGGCUCAGCUGUUCCACCCGCUUGCGCAGGCGGUCAUUGUCACUGGUCAGCUCCAGCACCUUCUGCUGCGUCUCCACGUUGCGCUGCUUGGCCUUGUCGCGGCUCUUGCGCACCGCGAUGUUGUUGCGCUCGCGCCGCACCCGGUACUCGUUGCUGUUCUUGUCCACCGACUUCUUGGCCUUGCCCGCGCCGCUGCCGCCACUCGCGCGGAGGUCGGGGUGCGCGGCGCCCAGCCCCUUGAGCGCGCUGCCAGGGCCCGGCAGGCCGGCGGCACCGAGCGCGGGCGCGGGGUGCGGGCUGGGCACGGGCGUGGGCGGCGGCGUGGGGUGACCGGGCUGCAGGUGCAUGGUGGUCUGGCCGCAGUGCGCGAUCUGGAACUGCAGGUGCGGGGCGGCCAGGUGCGCGGGCGGCGGGUGCGGGUGCGGGUGCGAGGGCGCUGAUGUCGAUGGACGUCUCGUGCUCGCAGAUGCCGCCCAGCGGCUCCGGGGCGGCAGGUGGGGCGGGAGGCUGCGCGGGGCCCGCGCCCCGGGGAAAGCCGAAGGCGGCGCUGCUGGGCGCGUGCGGGGGGCUCUGCAGGUGGCUGCUCAUCGGGGGCCGCGGCUCCGCCUCGUAGAAGUCGGCCGACUCCAUGGGGGAGUUAGAGUUCUCCCGGCAUGGCGAGCCUCGGCGGCCUCCAGCCUGCGCGGGGCGUCGCCGCCGCCCACCCGGAGACCCUGCUCGCCCGCGCCCGCGCACCUCCG
rnacentral:lncRNA from 1 species